UUGAUACAGCAAGCAAAAUUUACAACAAAGUACAUUGCUUUCAAAUUUUCUAAUUCUCCGGUUUAGAUCUUCCGUUUUGAUUCUUUCGACUGCGAUCUGUUUACUGGGGAUUUGGAGGUCGGCUGUUGGCGGCCGAAACUCGGGAUCCCCAUUCCAGCAGCUCUUUGCUAGUGUCAUCCUUGUGCACAAACACUUCAAUAAAGCAUAGACUAUCCUUGUGCUCCCCUGUUGCCUUGGCAAUUGCUUCUGUUAAAUCCUCCUCCGUUCGUACCUGUAUCAAAGCAAGAAUAAUCAUCGUCCCCUGCAUCAGAUUAGCUAUAGCGAUUAGGAAAGUUGUUUCUUUUAUGCUAACCUUGGUGGUCCAGCAUUUGCCUUCGCCAUUGUGGAUGGCAUCGACAAGGCCGGUGUAAUCCCAGUUCUUAAUCACAUUGUAUGGGCCAUCGUGAAUCUCUACUUCAAUUGUGUAGCCUCCGUUGUUGAUAAGAAAUAUAAUGGUGUUUUGUCCACAUCGGAUCAUUGUAGAAAUGUCCUGUGCAGUUACCUGAAAGGAGACACUAUUUACCAACCAAGCGCCAUAUAUAUCUCUCUAAAACAUGAACUUUUCCGAUCGGAAUAAUUACAAGGCAAUGGUAAUUUCUUUAUCUUUCACCGUUUUAAAUGAUUAAAACAAAAGAAGAAAUUGUUUUGCAGAAAAAUUAUUUUACAGUCAGUCGCAUUCCAGCUCCAUGGUACUCUUGAACCUGAUAUAACUAACCUGGAAACUCCCAUCACCAAUGCAAGCGAUCACCCGUUUAUCUUUGGCACCCUGAGCAUAGCCAAGAGUGGCGCCCACCGACCAUCCAAUGGAUCCAUACUGCAUCUGAAAUUCAUACCUGAAUAAAAAUGAUACAACUGGUUGGUAGUCCGUUGCAUAACACGCAAAGUUAAUCAUAUUCGAGAACCACAUAAAUGAGUUGUCUAAAGGAAACCGCAUCAUACCCGCAAUUCUCAGGCAGUCGGAGCUUCUGACAAUUGAACCAUGAGUCUCCAGUUUCGGCAAUUAUCGCAGAGUCUCCACUGAUAAUCUCCUGUAAAAAGUUCAAUAAAUAAAUUAACAAUUAGAAAUCUCAAUAUGAAGCACGAACAGAACAUAGACAGCUCAAGUAUACAAAACAGAACACUCUGCUCCUACCUGAAUGUGCUUGAAAAGAAUAUUGACCCUCAGAGGUUCAUCCUUCUCACUCUUCAGAGGGAUGCCAUGGGGAACAAAGAUACGGUGGUAAUUCUCAACAGCAGUACUGUUUUUCUUUAGCUUCUUGGCCAAUGCACUCAAGAAGUCCGCCAUGAAAACCCAGCCAAAGGACGGACCAUCCCCAAUUGUCACACGAUUUGGCUGCACGACAAUCGCUUUCUCCUUCUUGAUCAACAAGGAAUACCCCACAGAGCUAUAAUCAUUGAAAAUGGGUCCAACAAAAACAUAAGCAUCAGCAGACUCCACAAUCUCACCGCAGAAGGUGGUGCUCACAGCACCCCAAUAAGUCCCAAUGAAAUGCGGGUGGUGCUCGGGCACCAAACCCUUAGCAGAGGGCAUAACAGUGAUCGGGUACCCGCUAGCAUCUGCAAACUCCAUAAAGGCCUGCUGUGCCUUGGCUACUCUCAACUUGGGCCCUCCGACAAUCACGGGUUUCACAGCCUUGUUGAGAAAAGCAGCGGUGGCUUCAACUGCUGCCUCCAAACCACAUUGGUUGCUUACUUUCGGAGCAAGGAAGAAGGGGACCGGGUCUCUGGCAAAUGUGGGAUGAGGAAUUGCAGGCAGGUUGCAGCCUAGGUUGAUGUAUACAGGCUUGCUUUCUUUCAAUGCUGUUGAGAUUGCUGUGUCUAUCUGCUCAUGUGCAUCUCCCAAAUUGUUCACCACUGCCUGUCACAACAAUUUGCACCAAAUUCAAUAUAUUUGGAAACACAAAGGGCAUAUUUAUAACUAGGGAAACUUUUAACACUGCCCCCUGAACUUAGGAUCUGAUUCUGAUAUGCCCUAAUCUUUCAAAAAGUAUCGAUUUACCCCUACAAUCAAUCAAACUUUCUGUCAAAAGGAAAUAGUAGAGGCUCGUUUGGGAUAUGUUUUUUUCAAGACUCAAAACUUUUUAAAGAAAAUAUUUUUGGGUUCCGCCUUUCACUUCAAAUACUUUUUUAAAAUUAAUUUGUAUUUUUACUAAAAAUUGGUUGUAAAAACAUUUUAGUUAAAAAAAUGCUUUCACAAUUAUACAAAAGCACUUUCUGAACCAGCCCUAGUUUUGUCCAUUUAAGUUUAGGUUCGGUGUUCAAAACAAAACUAAAAGCAGAAGAGGCAAAUCGGAAAGAAAGCAUAAGUUCAAGGGCAUUGGUAAAUUUUUUUUCAUUUUUUCUAAAACGAGACUAUAUUUUUAGAAACAUUAACGAAAAGGGAUUGAAAUAUUUAAGUUUUAAUGAUAAAGAUAAAAUAAAUAAGAAAAUAAAUAGUAUCAGAUCUGAGUACCUAAAAAAUAUGGUUGUUCAUUAAAAUAAACAUUACGGGAGUUAUUUUUUAUUUUUAUUUUUUCUAGUAAGACUGAAGACAUGAAAGAGCUUUACCUGAUGACAGGUGACGGUUUGGAAGCACCGAAGCUCCUGAGUGAAAUCGGGCAACCCGAUCGUGUGGUGGAGGAUCCGGUUCGUGCCGUAAUCGUUGGAGUUCGGCCCACCUACUAUGCAGAUGACCGGCAAGUUCUCGCUGCACGCACCGGCGAUCGCGUUCAGCACACUGAGCCCGCCGACGGUGAACGUAACGACGCACGCUCCAACCCCCCUGGCGCGCGCGUAGCCGUCAGCAGCAUAACCGGCGU
rnacentral:lncRNA from 1 species